rnacentral:rRNA from 1 species
CGGGGGGGCAAGCGUUGUUCGGAAUUACUGGGCGUAAAGGGCUCGUAGGCGGCCAACUAAGUCAGACGUGAAAUCCCCAGGCUCAACCUGGGAACUGCGUCUGAUACUGGAUGGCUUGAAUCCGGGAGAGGGAUGCAGAAUUCCAGGUGUAGCGGUGAAAUGCGUAGAUAUCUGGAGGAAUACCGGUGGCGAAGGCGGCAUCCUGGACCGGCAUUGACGCUGAGGAGCGAAAGCCAGGGGAGCAAACGGGAUUAGAUACCCCGGUAGUCCUGGCCCUAAACGAUGAAUACUUGGUGUAACGGGUAUCGAUCCCUGUUGUGCCGAAGCUAACGCAUUAAGCAUUCCGCCUGGGGAGUACGGUCGCAAGGCUG